rnacentral:rRNA from 1 species
UUGGCGGACGGGUGAGUAACGCGUGGGUAACCUGCCUUGUACUGGGGGACAACAGUUGGAAACGACUGCUAAUACCGCAUAAGCGCACAGCUUCGCAUGAAGCAGUGUGAAAAACUCCGGUGGUACAAGAUGGACCCGCGUCUGAUUAGCUGGUUGGUGAGGUAACGGCCCACCAAGGCGACGAUCAGUAGCCGGCCUGAGAGGGUGAACGGCCACAUUGGGACUGAGACACGGCCCAA